rnacentral:rRNA from 1 species
GACGAACGCUGGCGGCGUGCUUAACACAUGCAAGUCGAACGGUGAAGCGCCUUCCUUUUUGGUGGGUGUGGAUGAGUGGCGAACGGGUGAGUAACACGUGAGUAACCUGCCCCCUUCUUCUGGAUACCCGCAUGAAAGUGUGGCUAAUACGGGAUAUUCUGGGUCUGUCGCAUGAUGGGUCUGGGAAAGAUAUUGUUUCGGUGGGGGAUGGGCUCGCGGCCUAUCAGCUUGUUGGUGGGGUGAUGGCCUACCAAGGCGGUGACGGGUAGCCGGCCUGAGAGGGUGGACGGUCACACUGGGACUGAGACACGGCCCAGACUCCUACGGGAGGCAGCAGUGGGGAAUAUUGCACAAUGGGCGCAAGCCUGAUGCAGCGACGCCGCGUGAGGGAUGGAGGCCUUCGGGUUGUGAACCUCUUUCGCCAGUGAAGCAGGCCUGCCUCGUUUGUGGGUGGGUUGACGGUAGCUGGAUAAGAAGCGCCGGCUAACUACGUG